rnacentral:rRNA from 1 species
UACGUAGGGCGCGAGCGUUGUCCGGAUUUAUUGGGCGUAAAGAGCUCGUAGGCGGUCUGUUACGUCUGCUGUGAAAACCCGGGGCUUAACCCUGGGCUUGCAGUGGAUACGGGCAGACUAGAGGCAGGUAGGGGAGAAUGGAAUUCCCGGUGUAGCGGUGAAAUGCGCAGAUAUCGGGAGGAACACCGGUGGCGAAGGCGGUUCUCUGGGCCUGACCUGACGCUGAGGAGCGAAAGCGUGGGGAGCGAACAGG